rnacentral:rRNA from 1 species
GACGAACGCUGGCGGCGUGCUUAACACAUGCAAGUCGAACGCUGAAGCUUGGUGCUUGCACUGGGUGGAUGGGUGGCGAACGGGUGAGUAAUACGUGAGUAACCUGCCCUUGACUCUGGGAUAAGCCUGGGAAACUGGGUCUAAUACUGGAUACGACAUGUCACCGCAUGGUGGUGUGUGGAAAGGGUUUUACUGGUUUUGGAUGGGCUCACGGCCUAUCAGCUUGUUGGUGGGGUAAUGGCUCACCAAGGCGACGACGGGUAGCCGGCCUGAGAGGGUGACCGGCCACACUGGGACUGAGACACGGCCCAGACUCCUACGGGAGGCAGCAGUGGGGAAUAUUGCACAAUGGGCGGAAGCCUGAUGCAGCGACGCCGCGUGAGGGAUGACGGCCUUCGGGUUGUAAACCUCUUUCAGCACGGAAGAAGCGAAAGUGACGGUACGUGCAGAAGAAGCGCCGGCUAACUACGUG